GGAAUUUAAACAGGAUGUGGCGUCACAACCACAACAAACCGCAUGCUCGCGUGGUCACCGCGGAAGAAGUUUUCCUUUCACUAAAGUGGCUAUUCGUCAUGUAAUGUAUCGCGGAGUCUCUCCAUCGAUGCAUAGAAUGUCAUUUGAGGAGACUGCAACGGAGAGUAAAAGUCAAGGCGACGAGAUGAAGGGGGCGAAAAGAAAGAUUUCUCUGUCGAAUUGUGGGGUCUGUGGCUUUGGAGAGGCCAAGUACAAGUGCCCCGCCUGCCUCACACAUUCAUGCAGUUUGUUUUGCGUGAAGAAACACAAGGAAGAAUCAAGAUGCAGUGGUGUCAGAAACAAAACCGCCUUCCUCAACCUCUCUCAAUUUGAUGAAAUGACUCUCCUCAGUGACUACAGGUUUCUGGAGGAUACAGGAAGGUUUGCUGGUGGUGCCCAGAGGGACGGUCUCCUUCAUGUUCGUCAUACUUCGAUGAAAAUCCUGUGAACCUUGUUAAAGCAAACAUACUCGUGAUAUUUUAAGGCGAGGAUUCAUCAAUACUUGCAUUUUGACUGCUUCAGGCAAGGCAAGGGCAAGGCAAAGAAGCUGAUAGUUAAUGCCAGAAAGAUGAACAUCACAUUGAGAACCCUCCCCAGCACCUUUACCAAGAGUAAGGAAAACUCCACCAUCUUCAAUUCAAGGUAAGAAGGCACUCACACUGAUAAGCAUACCAUUCUUUUCAUACAGAGGAAUUUGACACACUGGUGCAGCGUUUACAGUAUUUGUGAGGGUGUGUGCUGAGGUUUAACAGG